UCAGGAUGAACGCUAGCGGCAGGCUUAACACAUGCAAGUCGAGGGGCAGCGGGAUGUAGCAAUACAUUGCCGGCGACCGGCGGAUGGGUGCGUAACGCGUAUGCAACCUACCUUAUACAGGGGAAUAACCUUUCGAAAGGGAGACUAACACCCCAUAGUAUUGAUUUAGGGCAUCUUAGAUUAAUUAAAUAUUUAUAGGUAUAAGAUGGGCAUGCGUAUGAGUAGCUAGUUGGUAAGGUAACGGCUUACCAAGGCGACGAUCAUUAGGGGUUCUGAGAGGAAGGUCCCCCACACUGGUACUGAGACACGGACCAGACUCCUACGGGAGGCAGCAGUGAGGAAUAUUGGUCAAUGGGCGCAAGCCUGAACCAGCCAUGCCGCGUGCAAGGAAGACGGCCUUAUGGGUUGUAAACUGCUUUUACAUAAGACUAACCGUAUAUUUGCGAAUAUACCUGAAUGUAUUAUGAGAAUAAGGAUCGGCUAACUCCGUGCCAGCCGCCGC
rnacentral:rRNA from 1 species